AGAGUUUGAUCCUGGCUCAGGAUGAACGCUAGCGGCAGGCCUAAUACAUGCAAGUCGAACGGAGCAGCAAUGCUCAGUGGCGCACGGGUGCGUAACGCGUAGGUAACCUGCCCUUUACCGGGGGAUAACCAUCUGAAAGGAUGGCUAAUACCGCAUAAGACCACCUUCCGGCAUCGGAGGAUGGUGAAAGAUUCAUUGGUAAAGGAUGGGCCUGCGUCUGAUUAGUUAGCUGGCGGUGUAAGAGACCACCAGGACGAUGAUCAGUAGGGGUUCUGAGAGGAAGAUCCCCCACACUGGCACUGAGAUACGGGCCAGACUCCUACGGGAGGCAGCAGUAGGGAAUAUUGGGCAAUGGAGGCAACUCUGACCCAGCCAUGCCGCGUGCAGGAAGAAGGCGCUCAGCGUUGUAAACUGCUUUUGCCGGGGAAGAAUGAGCCCUACGUGUAGGGAAAGUGACGGUACCCGGUGAAUAAGCACCGGCUAACUCCGUGCCAGCAGCCGCGGUAAUACGGAGGGUGCAAGCGUUGUCCGGAUUUAUUGGGUUUAAAGGGUGCGUAGGCGGCUAUGUAAGUCAGUGUUUAAAGUCAACAGCUCAACUGUUGGAAUGGCAAUGAUACUGCAUAGCUUGAGUAAAGUUGAGGUAGGCGGAAUUGAUGGUGUAGCGGUGAAAUGCAUAGAUAUCAUCAAGAACAUCGAUUGCGAAGGCAGCUUACUAAGCUUUAACUGACGCUGAGGCACGAAAGCGUGGGGAUCAAACAGGAUUAGAUACCCUAGUAGUCC
rnacentral:rRNA from 1 species